UGAACGCUAGCGGCAGGCUAACACAUGCAAGUCGAGGGGCAGCGCGAGUAGCAAUACUUGGCGGCGACCGGCGCAAGGGUGCGUAACGCGUGAGCAACAUGCCCGUAUCAGGGGGAUAAUCCAGGGAAACUUGGUCUAAUACCCCAUAGUAAUUUUUGUAAGGCAUCUUAUAAGAUUUAAAGCUUUGGUGGAUACGGAUUGGCUCGCGUGACAUUAGCUGGAUGGUAAGGUAACGGCUUACCAUGGCUAUGAUGUCUAGGGGUUCUGAGAGGAAGGUCCCCCACACUGGAACUGAGACACGGUCCAGACUCCUACGGGAGGCAGCAGUGAGGAAUAUUGGACAAUGGAUGGAAAUCUGAUCCAGCCAUGCCGCGUGAAAAGGAAGAAGGUCCUAUGGAUUGUAAACUUCUUUUGUAUGGGAGCAAUAAGGCCUACGAGUAGGUUGAUGAGAGUACCAUACGAAUAAGCACCGGCUAACUCCGUGCCAGCAGCGGC
rnacentral:rRNA from 1 species